CAGCAGCCGCGGGAAUACGAAGGGUGCAAGCGUUACUCGGAAUUACUGGGCGUAAAGCGUGCGUAGGUGGUGGUUUAAGUCCGUUGUGAAAGCCCUGGGCUCAACCUGGGAAUUACAGUGGAUACUGGGUCACUAGAGUGUGGUAGAGGAUAGUGGAAUUUCCGGUGUAGCAGUGAAAUGCGUAGAGAUCGGAAGGAACAUCUGUGGCGAAGGUGACUAUCUGGGCCAACACUGACACUGAGGCACGAAAGCGUGGGGAGCAAACAGGAUUAGAGACCCCCGUAGUCCCUGUCUCUUAUAC
rnacentral:rRNA from 1 species